AGAGAGAGACAUGCGCGCAUAUCAAUAAGCGGAGGAAAAGAAACUAACAAGGAUUCCCCUAGUAACGGCGAGUGAAGCGGGAAGAGCUCAAAUUUGAAAUCUUAAAGGGUUUCCCUUUACGAAUUGUAGUUUAAAGAAGUGUUUUCUGUUGAGGUUUUGGUAAAAGUUCUUUGGAAUAGGACAUCAUAGAGGGUGAGAAUCCCGUAUUUGACCUUUACUUUCAACUUUGUGAUACACUUUCAAAGAGUCGGAUUGUUUGGGAAUGCAGUCCAAAAUGGGUGGUAAAUUUCAUCUAAAGCUAAAUAUUGGCGAGAGACCGAUAGCGAACAAGUACCGUGAGGGAAAGAUGAAAAGAACUUUGAAAAGAGAGUUAAACAGUACGUGAAAUCGUCAAAAGGGAAGCGUUUGACACCAGUGUUGUUUUUCUGAAAAUCAAUUAAAGAACUGUUUAUGCUAAGUUGUUUAGACUUUAUCAGCUAACUGUUUAGUUUUGAGCUUUUCUUUAAUGCACUUUUCAGUUAACAAGUCAACAUCAAUUUCUUUUGCUGUAAAAAAGCUUGAGGAAGGUGGCUUGAGAUUCGUCUUAAGUGUUUAUAGCCUCUUGCCUAUGCAGUCGGAGAGAUUGAGGUCUGCAGCGUAGAUCCUUCGGGGCUAAAUGCAUUUGUGCUAAGUUAUAGCAUUUUAUAGACAACUUGUUGACUAUGAUUUGUCUUGUAGCUUACUCGCUUAUGUUAUUUUACCUACGCUUAGGAUGUUGACGCAUGAGAUAUACGC
rnacentral:rRNA from 1 species